rnacentral:rRNA from 1 species
UUUGAUUCUGGCUCAGAUUGAACGCUGGCGGGAUGCUUGCCUGCAAGUCGAACGGCGCUGCGGAACUGGUCUGGUGGCGAGUGGCGAACGGGUGAGUAAUGUAUCGGAACGUGCUAGUAGCGGGGAUAACUACGCAGCGCUAGCUAAUACCACAUACGCCCUUCAGGGGAAAGCAGGGGACAGCCGGGCCUCGCACUAUUAGAGCGGCCGAUAUCGGAUUAGCUAGUUGGUGGGGUAACGGCUCACCAAGGCGACGAUCCAUGUGGUUUGAGAGGACGACCAGCCACACUGGGACUGAGACCACGGCCCAGACUCCUACGGGAGAGCAGCAGUGGGGAAUUUUGGACAAUGGGGGAAACCCUGAUCCAGCCAUCCCGCGUGUGCGAUGAAGGCCUUCGGGUUGUAAAAGCACUUUUUGGCAGGAAAACGGCACGGGAUAAUACCCGUGCAACUGACAGUACCUGCGGAAUAGCGCAGUAACUACGUGCCGGCAAUAUGAUGACCAUAGGGUGCAAGCGUUAAUCGGAAUUACUGGGCGUAAAGCGUGCGCAGGCGGUUCGGAAAGAAAGAUGUGAAAUCCCAGAGCUUAACUUUGGAACUGCAUUUUUAACUACCGAGCUAGAGUGUGUCAGAGGGAGGUGGAAUUCCGCGUGUAGUGAAAUGCGUAAAUAUGCGGAGGAACACCGAUAGCGAGAAAACAACCUCCUGGGAUAACACUGACGCUCAUGCACAGCGUGGGAGCAAACAGGAUUAGAUACCUGGCAGUCCACGCCUAAACGAUGUCAACUAGCUGUUGGGGCCUUCGGGCCUUGGUAGCGCAGCUAACGCGUGAAGUUGACCGCCUGGGGAAUUACGGUCGCAAGAUUAAAACUCAAAAUUGACAGGGACCCGCACAAGCGGUGGAUGAUGUGGAUUAAUUCGAUGCAACGCGAAAACCUUACCUACCCUUCCAGCAUGUCUGGAAUCCCGAAGAGAUUUGGGAGUGCUCGCAAGAGAACCGGAACACAGGUGCUGCAUGGCUGUCGUCAGCUCGUGUCAUGAGAUGUUGGGUUAAGUCGCAACCCUUGUCAUUAGUUGCUACGAAGGGCACUCUAAUGAGACUGCCGACAAACCGGAGGAGAAGGUGAGGAUGACGUCAAGUCCUCAUGGCCCUUAUGGGUAGGGCUUCACACGUCAUACAAUGGUCGGGACAGAGGGUCGCCAACCCGCGAGGGGGAGCCAAUCCCAGAAACCCGAUCGUAGUCCGGAUCGCAGUCUGCAACUCGACUGCGUGAAGUCGGAAUCGCUAGUAAUCGCGGAUCAGCAUGUCGCGGUGAAUACGUUCCCGGGUCUUGUACACACCGCCCGUCACACCAUGGGAGUGGAGUUUUACCAGAAGUAGUUAACCUAACCGUAAGGAGGGCGAUUACCACGGUAGGAUUCAUGACUGGGGUGAAGUCGUAACAAGGUAA